rnacentral:lncRNA from 1 species
AGAAACUUGGAAUUUGUUUUGGACAUAAGAUGGCUUAGAAUGGUGCUGUCCAACAGUUAUAUAACAUGAGCCGGCCGGGCGCGGUGGCUCAAGCCUGUAAUCCCAGCACUUUGGGAGGCCGAGGCGGGCGGAUCACGAGGUCAGGAGAUCGAGACCAUCCUGGCUAACACGGUGAAACCCUGUCUCUACUAAAAUACAAAAAAAAUUAGCCGGGCGAGGUGGCGAGCCUGUACUCCCCAGCUACUUCGGGAGGCUGAGGCAGGAGAAUGGCGUGAACCCGGGAGGCGGGGCUUGCAGUGAGCUGAGAUCCGGCCACUGCAGUCCAGCCUGGGCAACAGAGCCAGACUCCAUCUCAAAAAAAAAAAAAAAAAAUGAGCCACAAAUGUGAGCCACAUAUAUACUUUAAAAUCUUCUGUGGCCAUAUUAACAAAGCAAAGCAAAUGAAAAUUAAUUUUAGUAAUACAUUUUUAUUUAACCUGACAUACCCAAAGUAUUAUCACUUCAACAGGUAGUCAAUAUUAAAACUAUUAAUGAGGCCAGAAGUUCAAGACCAGCCUGGCCAACGUGGCGAAAACCCAUCUCUACUAAAAAUACAGAACAAAAAAUUAGCCAGGCUUGGUGGUGGGUGCCUGUAAUCCCAGCUACUUGGGAGGCUGAGGCAGGAGAAUUGCUUGAAUCUGGGAGGUGGAGGCUGCAGUGAGCCAAGAUCAUGCCAUUGCACUCCAGCCUGGGCAAGAAGAGCAAAUCUCCGUCUCAAAAAAAAAAAAAAAAAAAGGUGUGGCUGUAAUCCCAGCACUUUGGGAGGCCAAGGCGGGCGGAUCGCCUGAGGUCAGGAGUUCGAGACCAGCCCGACAAACAUGUUGAAACCCCAUUUCUACUAAAAAUACAAAAAGAUUAGCCAGGCGUGGUGGCGGGCGCCUGUAAUCCCAGCUACUCAGGAGGCUGAGGCAGGGGAAUCACUUGAACCCAGAAGGGGGAGGUUGCAGUGAGUGGGGAUCGUGCCACUGCACAACAACAAAAAACUAUUAAUGAGACAUUUUACGUUCUUUACUAUGCUAACUCCACAAAAUCUGGUGUGCAUUUUACACUUCAUAUCAAAAUUCAGACUGGCCACAUUUCAAGUGCUCACAUGUCUAGUGGCUACUGCCUUGGAGAGCACAGACUUGCAAGGUUAAAAUCAUUGGCUAGUGGAACCUUCAGAAGCAUAGCUAGGAAAAGUUAGAAAAUUUGGAUCUUGGCUGGGUGUGGUGGCUUAUGCCCAUAGCCUCAAACUUUGGGAGGCUGAGGCAGGUGAAUUGCUAGAGCCCAGGGGUUUGAGACCAGCCUGGGCAACAUAGCAAGACCCUGUCUCUACAGAAAAUAAAAAAAUUAGCUGGGUGUGAUGGUGUGCACCUGUGGUCCCAGUUACUCAGGAGGCUGAGGCAGGAGGAUUGCAUGAGCCCAGGAGGUUGAGGCUGCAGUAAGCUGUGAUCUUGCCACUGCACUCCAGCCUGGGCAAACAGAGCAAGACCCUAUUAAAAAAAAAAAAAAAAA